rnacentral:rRNA from 1 species
UGGGUAACCUGCCUCAAAGAGGGGAAUAGCCUCCCGAAAGGGAGAUUAAUACCGCAUAAUAUGUUUUAAUCGCAUGAUUUUAACAUCAAAGGAUUUUCUUCGGAACUUCCACUUUGAGAUGGACCCGCGGCGCAUUAGCUAGUUGGUGAGGUAACGGCUCACCAAGGCAACGAUGCGUAGCCGACCUGAGGAGGGUGAUCGGCCACAUUGGAACUGAGACACGGUCCAGCUCCGUAGGG